rnacentral:rRNA from 1 species
GGCUUGUUGAAUAUAAUUUCAGGUCUGACCUGCCCAAUGAUGAGUUUAAUGGCCGCGGUAUUUUGACUGUGCAAAGGUAGCAUAAUCAUUAGUUUUUUAAUUGAAAGCUUGUAUGAAAGGUUUGAUGAAAAAGAUUCUGUCUCUGUAAAAAUUUGUUAGAAUUUUAUUUUUAAGUAAAAAAGCUUAAAUGCGUAUAGAAGACGAGAAGACCCUAUAGAGUUUUAUAAAGAAUUUUUACUAGAAUUUAUGGUAGUAAAAGUUUAGUGAAAGUUUUUAUUAUUUUGUUGGGGUGACAGAAAAAUUAAUUGAACUUUUUUUUAAUAUUUACAUUUAUUUAUGAAUAAUUGAUCCUGAUUUUCAGAUUAAAAGAUUAAAUUACCUUAGGGAUAACAGCGUAAUUUUUUUUAGAGUUCUUAUCGAAAAGAAAGAUUGCGACCUCGAUGUUGGAUUAAAAUGUAUUGUUGGCGAAGAAGCUAAAGGUUAUUAGGUCUGUUCGACCUUUAAAAUUUUACAUGAUCUGAGUUUAAACCGGCGUGAG